rnacentral:rRNA from 1 species
AGCGAACGCUGGCGGCAUGCCUAACACAUGCAAGUCGAACGGCAGCACAGUAAGAGCUUGCUCUUACGGGCGGCGAGCGGCGGACGGGUGCGGAAUACAUCGGAAUCUACUUUUUCGUGGGGGAUAAUGCAGGGAAAUUUAUGCGAAUACCGCAUACGACCUACGUGUGAAAGCAGGGGAUCUUCUGACCUUUCGCGAUGGAAUGAGCCGAUGUCGGAUUCGCUAGUUGGCGGGUUAAAGGGCAACCUAGGCGACGAUCCGUAGCUGGUCUGAGAGGAUGAUCAGCCACACUGGAACUGAGGCACAGUCCAGACUCCUACGCGAGGAAGCAGUGGGGAAUAUUAGACGAUGGGGGAAAGCCUAAUCCAGCCAUACCGCGUGAGUGAAGAAGGCCUUCGGGUUGUAAAGCCAUUUUGUUGGGAAAGAAAAACAGCAGGUUAAUACCCCGCUGUUCUGACGGUACCCAAAGAAUAAGCACCGGCUAACUUCGUG